CAGUGCCUACGGGGGGCAGCAGUGGGGAAUUUUGGACAAUGGGCGCAAGCCUGAUCCAGCUAUUCCGCGUGUGGGAUGACGGCCUUCGGGUUGUAAACCACUUUUGUAGAGAACGAAAAGUCUGUUGAUAAUACCGAUAGAUGAUGACGGUACUCUAAGAAUAAGCACCGGCUAACUACGUGCCAGCAGCCGCGGUAAUACGUAGGGUGCGAGCGUUAAUCGGAAUUACUGGGCGUAAAGGGUGUGCAGGCGGCUUUGCAAGAUGGAUGUGGAAGCCCCGGGCUUAACCUGGGAAAGGCAUACAU
rnacentral:rRNA from 1 species